rnacentral:lncRNA from 1 species
UUUUGGUUUAUACUUAUUCAUGAUUUAGUUAUGUACGGGGUAUUCUGGAUAUGGUAGAAUGUGUAUGGAGAUUGUGAAUAGGUCAACAUGAAAUCGAUCACUCCUGGUAAGAGGAGAUCGCAUCCUACUUGCUCUGAUCAAUUGAUGAUUCAAGAAGCCUUUGAUCAAAGCAAAAUAAAAAUUAAAAAUAAUUUCUAAUAUUUUAUUAAUCAAAUCAUCAUUAAAGAUUAAGAGAGAUAUGAAUAUGAUAUUAGAUUUGACAUCAUUCCAUAUCCAAAGUCAUAUUCGGGG